GCCGCUGCUGUGGCGGCGGCGCAGGCCCAUGGUGGCCUUCGGAGCCAUCGCGGCCGUGUUCGUCACGCAGUGGUCGCU
rnacentral:tRNA from 1 species